rnacentral:rRNA from 1 species
AUUGAACGCUGGCGGCAGGCCUAACACAUGCAAGUCGAACGGUAACAGGAAGAAGCUUGCUUCUUUGCUGACGAGUGGCGGACGGGUGAGUAAUGUCUGGGAAACUGUCUGAUGGAGGGGGAUAACUACUGGAAACGGUAGCUAAUACCGCAUAACGUCGCAAGACCAAAGAGGGGGACCUUCGGGCCUCUUGCCAUCGGAUGUGCCCAGAUGGGAUUAGCUAGUAGGUGGGGUAACGGCUCACCUAGGCGACGAUCUCUAGCUGGUCUGAGAGGAUGACCAGCCACACGGGAACUGAGACACGGUCCAGACUCCUACGGGAGGCAGCAGUGGGGAAUAUUGCACAAUGGGCGCAAGCCUGAUGCAGCCAUGCCGCGUGUAUGAAGAAGGCCUUCGGGUUGUAAAGUACUUUCAGCGGGGAGGAAGGGAGUAAAGUUAAUACCUUUGCUCAUUGACGUUACCCGCAGAAGAAGCACCGGCUAACUCCGUG